rnacentral:rRNA from 1 species
UAACGCGAAGAACCUUACCUGGUCUUGACAUCCACGGAAGUUUUCAGAGAUGAGAAUGUGCCUUCGGGAACCGUGAGACAGGUGCUGCAUGGCUGUCGUCAGCUCGUGUUGUGAAAUGUUGGGUUAAGUCCCGCAACGAGCGCAACCCUUAUCCUUUGUUGCCAGCGGUCCGGCCGGGAACUCAAAGGAGACUGCCAGUGAUAAACUGGAGGAAGGUGGGGAUGACGUCAAGUCAUCAUGGCCCUUACGACCAGGGCUACACACGUGCUACAAUGGCGCAUACAAAGAGAAGCGACCUCGCGAGAGCAAGCGGACCUCAUAAAGUGCGUCGUAGUCCGGAUUGGAGUCUGCAACUCGACUCCAUGAAGUCGGAAUCGCUAGUAAUCGUGCUCAGUAUGUCCCCAGUCA